GCGGGGAUGCCGGAGCGGCCAAACGGGAUGGACUCAAGAUCCAUUGGCUUAGUGCCUACAAGGGUUCGAAUCCCUUUCCCCGCACCA
rnacentral:tRNA from 1 species